rnacentral:rRNA from 1 species
GACGUAGGGCGCGAGCGUUGUCCGGAUUUAUUGGGCGUAAAGAGCUCGUAGGCGGCUCGUUGCGUCGGCUGUGAAAACCCGCAGCUCAACUGUGGGCUUGCAGCUGAUACGGGCGGGCUGGAGUUCGGUAGGGGAGACUGGAAUUCCUGGUGUAGCGGUGAAAUGCGUAGAUAUCAAGAGGAACACCUGAGGUGAAGACGGGUUGCUGGGCUGACACUGACGCUGAGGCGCGAAAGCUAGGGGAGCAAACGGG